rnacentral:rRNA from 1 species
GAUGAACGCUAGCUACAGGCUUAACACAUGCAAGUCGAGGGGAAACGACAUCGAAAGCUUGCUUUUGAUGGGCGUCGACCGGCGCACGGGGGAGUAACGCGUAUCCAACCUGCCCAUCACUUGGGGAUAACCUUGCGAAAGUAAGACUAAUACCCAAUGAUAUCUCUAGAAGACAUCUGAAAGAGAUUAAAGAUUUAUCGGUGAUGGAUGGGGAUGCGUCUGAUUAGCUUGUUGGCGGGGUAACGGCCCACCAAGGCAACGAUCAGUAGGGGUUCUGAGAGGAAGGUCCCCCACAUUGGAACUGAGACACGGUCCAAACUCCUACGGGAGGCAGCAGUGAGGAAUAUUGGUCAAUGGGCGAGAGCCUGAACCAGCCAAGUAGCGUGCAGGAAGACGGCCCUAUGGGUUGUAAACUGCUUUUAUAAGGGAAUAAAGUGAGAGUCGUGACUCUUUUUGUAUGUACCUUAUGAAUAAGGACCGGCUAAUUCCGUG